ACCUGACGCAGCAACGCCGCGUGAGUGAUGAAGGCCUUCGGGUCGUAAAGCUCUGUCAGAGGGGAAGAACCACCUGAGGGGUAAUAUCCUUCAGGCCUGACGGUACCCUCAAAGGAAGCACCGGCUAACUCCGUGCCAGCAGCCGCGGUAAUACGGAGGGUGCAAGCGUUGUUCGGAAUUAUUGGGCGUAAAGCGCGUGUAGGCGGUCUGUUAAGUCUGAUGUGAAAGCCCCGGGCUCAACCCGGGAAGUGCAUUGGAAACUGGCAGACUUGAGUACGGGAGAGGGUAGUGGAAUUCCGAGUGUAGGGGUGAAAUCCGUAGAUAUUCGGAGGAACACCGGUGGCGAAGGCGGCUACCUGGACCGAUACUGACGCUGAGACGCGAAAGCGUGGGGAGCAAACAGGAUUAGAUACCCUGGUAGUCCACGCCGUAAACGAUGGGUACUAGGUGUUGCGGGUAUUGAUCCCUGCAGUGCCGAAGCUAACGCAUUAAGUACCCCGCCUGGGGAGUACGGCCGCAAGGCUA
rnacentral:rRNA from 1 species